rnacentral:lncRNA from 1 species
GGGAGUCCCUCCCUGGGCGCCGCAACGGCACCUCCUCCCUUUCCCGGCUCCGUCCCGCCCUCCCUCGGCCUCUGCGGACGCGACCCACGCAGACCACAGCCGAGCCCGCCGGACCCCGGGACUACGGAAGCCAUCCCGUCCGGCCACCCACACCCGCGCCGCGGCUGGGGCUUGGGUUGGGGACUGUGGCGGCGAAGAAGCCGGGGCAUACAACUUAGGAUUCAUAACUACAUAUAUACGGAUAGAAGUGCAUGAACAGAAAAUCUGCCCUUCUGGAAUACCAAAUGCAAAAUUAAAGUGACUACAAGCAGAAUUUGGAGAAAAAAAUAAAAGAUGCAAUAUAGUUUUUAAAAUCAUUGUUAAAAUAUAAUGAGUCUGUACUUUGCUUAAACAAUAAAAAAGUCUUCGAUUUAUACUGAA